AGAGUUUGAUCCUGGCUCAGAACGAACGCUGGCGGCGCGUCUUAAGCAUGCAAGUCGGGCGGCAGCCGCAGCGAUGCGGCGAGAGCGGCGGACGGGUGAGUAACGCGUGGACAACCGACCCUCCGGACGGGGAUAGCCGCGGGAAACUGCGGAUAAUACCGGAUACGACCCGGGGAGCGAAGGCGCUCCGGGGGAAAGCCGCUGCGGCGGCGCCGGGGGACGGGUCUGCGUCCCAUCAGCUAGACGGCGGGGUGGAGGCCCACCGUGGCGACGACGGGUAGCCGGCCUGAGAGGGUGGACGGCCACAUUGGGACUGAGAACGGCCCAGACUCCUACGGGAGGCAGCAGCUAAGGAUCUUCCGCAAUGGGCGAAAGCCUGACGGAGCGACGCCGCGUGGACGAUGGAGGCCGUGAGGUCGUAAAGUCCUUUUCCGUGGGGUGAAGAGCCGUGCCAGGGAAUGGGUGCGGGGUGACGUGACCACGGGAAUAAGCCCCGGCUAACUACGUGCCAGCCGCCGCGGUAAUAC
rnacentral:rRNA from 1 species